GAUGAACGCUGGCGGCGUGCCUAAUACAUGCAAGUCGAGCGAACGGACGAGAAGCUUGCUUCUCUGAUGUUAGCGGCGGACGGGUGAGUAACACGUGGAUAACCUACCUAUAAGACUGGGAUAACUUCGGGAAACCGGAGCUAAUACCGGAUAAUAUUUUGAACCGCAUGGUUCAAAAGUGAAAGACGGUCUUGCUGUCACUUAUAGAUGGAUCCGCGCUGCAUUAGCUAGUUGGUAAGUUAACGGCUUACCAAGGCAACGAUGCAUAGCCGACCUGAGAGGGUGAUCGGCCACACUGGAACUGAGACACGGUCCAGACUCCUACGGGAGGCAGCAGUAGGGAAUCUUCCGCAAUGGGCGAAAGCCUGGCGGAGCAACGCCGCGUGAGUGAUGAAGGUCUUCGGAUCGUAAAACUCUGUUAUUAGGGAAGAACAUAUGUGUAAGUAACUGUGCACAUCUUGACGGUAACUAAUCAGAAAGCAACGGCUAACUACGUG
rnacentral:rRNA from 1 species